CACGUAGGCACCAAGCGUUGUCCGGAUUUAUUGGGCGUAAAGAGCUCGUAGGCGGUUCGGUAAGUCGGGUGUGAAAACUUUGGGCUCAACCCAAAGCCUGCACUCGAUACUGCUGUGACUUGAGUCCGGUAGGGGAGUGGGGAAUUCCUGGUGUAGCGGUGGAAUGCGCAGAUAUCAGGAGGAACACCGGUGGCGAAGGCGCCACUCUGGGCCGGUACUGACGCUGAGGAGCGAAAGCGUGGGAGCGAACAGG
rnacentral:rRNA from 1 species